AUCCGGCUGGCGAGUCCCAAAUAAGACGAAACUCGCGUCCUGGAU
rnacentral:hammerhead_ribozyme from 1 species